rnacentral:tRNA from 1 species
AAAACGUUAAUUUAAAUUAAAAAUCUAGGCAUGUCAACCCUAAUAUAAGCCUCUUCUUACGUUUUA